UUGAACGCUGGCGGCAUGCCUUACACAUGCAAGUCGAACGGCAGCACGGGGGCAACCCUGGUGGCGAGUGGCGAACGGGUGAGUAAUACAUCGGAACGUGCCCUGAAGUGGGGGAUAACGUAGCGAAAGUUACGCUAAUACCGCAUAUUCUGUGAGCAGGAAAGCAGGGGAUCGCAAGACCUUGCGCUUUAGGAGCGGCCGAUGUCGGAUUAGGUAGUUGGUGGGGUAAAGGCUCACCAAGCCUGCGAUCUGUAGCUGGUCUGAGAGGACGACCAGCCACACUGGGACUGAGACACGGCCCAGACUCCUACGGGAGGCAGCAGUGGGGAAUUUUGGACAAUGGGCGCAAGCCUGAUCCAGCCAUUCCGCGUGCAGGAUGAAGGCCUUCGGGUUGUAAACUGCUUUUGUACGGAACGAAAAGGCUCUGGUGAAUACCUGGGGCUCAUGACGGUACCGUAAGAAUAAGCACCGGCUAACUACGU
rnacentral:rRNA from 1 species